GGUUGAUACAGUGAUGAAUUCCAGGAUGGCCAUCUGUGUGAUUGUGUUUCUAACACUUUUUACUGGACUGUGCGUCGCUGAUUCCAAAGGGAAUCUUGCUCUUAAUGCCAAGGCUGUGCAGUCCUCCACAGCCCCGCUGGGAGCUGCUCAACAUGCAGUAGAUGGAAACAGA